rnacentral:lncRNA from 1 species
AUGCUUUUCUCUCUCCCUCAUCCUUCCUGUGGUCUUUGUCUUUCUUUGCCCCUCUUCUCCCCUUCUCUCCCGUUGCUCCUUUCUUUUCUCUAUUCCUAUCUCUUUUUCUCCACUUUCUCUCCCCCCUUUCUCACCUCUCCCUUCCUUUCCCCCUUUUCUUUCUCUUCUCUCCUGCUCUCUCCCUUUUCUCUCCCUUCCCUCUCUACUGUCUCUUCUCUCGUCUCCUUCCUUUUCUCACCUUUGUCUCCAUCCCUUCCUCUCUCCUCUUUCUCUCCUCUGUCUCUCUUUCCCUUGCUGCUUCUCUUUCCUCUCUCCCUUCCCUCCUUCCUCCAUGCCCUACUCUGCUUCUGCUCUUUGUCUUUUGUUCUCUUUCUCAUCUCUCCCUUUCUUACUCUCUCUCCCUCAAUUGCUUGCUUUCUUUCCCUUCCUUUCUCUCUCUCACCCUGCCUCUGUCUCUUCUCCCCUCUCUUGCCCCUUCUACCUUCCUUGUAUCUCUUUCCUCUCUCCUUCCUUCCUCCGUCUCUUCUUUCUCCCCCUUUCUUGCUCUUUUUUGCUUUCAUUUCUUCUCACUCUUCCUUCCUUCCUCUCUCCCUUUCCUCCCCCCUUCAUUUCUCCUUCUCCUCUUCAAUCCCGCCCCCCUUUUUCUUUCCUUCUGCCUUCAGUUUCUCUUCCUGUCUUCUCUUCCUUCCUGUCUCUCUGUCCUCCUUUUCUCCCUUGUCUCUCUUCUCUUCCCCUCUCCAUUCUUUGCUAUCACUGUCUUUCUUCCCUCUCUCCCUCCCACCCUUCUCUUUUUCAUUUUCGUUUCAUUUCUUCCAUCCUUUCACAGCAUUUCUCUCCCAUUCUUUGGCUUUUUUCUCUCUCCCUUCCUCCCUCUUCUCUCCCUUCCUUCCCCUCUUCCUCUCCAUCUCUCUGUCUCUUAAUCUUUCUCUCUCCCAUUCUAUUUCUCUCUCUUCCUUGUCUCUUUCCCUUCACCUCUCUUUCUUCUUUCCUUUCCCUCUUUCUAUUCUCUUCUCCCCUUUCUCCCAGUUUCUGUCUCUUCCUGCCUUCCUCUCUCAAUUUUCCCCUUCCUCCUCCCUUCCUCUGUUUCCACUCUAUCUUCUCUCUCCUUCCUUCCCACCUCUCUCUCUCCUGUUGUCUUUCUCUCCCACCCCAUUUCUUUCUCUCUCUGGUCUCUUUCCUCUCUUCCUUCUCCUUCCUUCCCUUCUUUUCCUUUCUCACAUCUCCCUGUUUCUCUCUCCUCUUUCGCCUCCUCUCUGUCCCUUAAUCACUCCCCCUCUUUAUUUUCCCUUCCUCCCUUCUUUUGUUUCCACUCUCUUCUGGCUCUCUCCUUCUUUCUCCAUGUCCUUCCUUCCCACAUCUUUCUCUUCUGUCUUCCUCUUUCUCUCUUGUCUUUCCCCUCCUUUUCCUUCCUCUCUCUCCCUCUUUUCAAUCCUUUCUCUCUUCUUCCUUCCCUUUUUGCCUUUUCUCCCCUUUCUCCCUGUUGCUCUCUCCCUUCCUCUUUUUUUCUUGCCCUUCCUACCUUCCUUUCUGUCUCUCUCCCUCAAUCUCUCUCCCUUCCUCUCUCUGUUCCCUCACAUGCAGCAGCUUCUUAAUAUUAAUCUGCAAACAUAA